UACAGAGGUCCCAAGCGUUGUUCGGAUUCAUUGGGCGUAAAGGGUGCGUAGGCGGCGCGGUAAGUCGGGUGUGAAAUCUCGGGCUUAACUCCGAAACUGCAUUCGAUACUGCCGUGCUUGAGGACUGGAGAGGAGACUGGAAUUUACGGUGUAGCGGUGAAAUGCGUAGAUAUCGUAAGGAAGACCAGUGGCGAAGGCGGGUCUCUGGACAGUUCCUGACGCUGAGGCACGAAGGCCAGGGGAGCAAACGGG
rnacentral:rRNA from 1 species